GGAUUUGAGGGUGAUAUGAAUGUGACACCUGUCACCCCAUUCUUUUGGGUUUUUUUGUUGCCACCAACGCCCGGCCUGUCACCCAUUCUUCAGCACAGUUGAUUCAGCUGAUCUGGAUGGCUAGCUGGUUGUCCCGUCCUCUCUCAUGGCUCCACACAUCUGUCUCUCAAAGCUGCAUACCAGGCUGAAGAGGAUGACCUUCUCUUAAUAGAGGGGAACAGCCCUUGGUCAAGGGUGUAUGAGUAGCUGGACUCCACUGAUGGAACCUCCAAACCUGCUCUCAACAAAGAGCAUCUUAUGUGUCAAUCAAUUAAGUACUGAUUGGAAAUUUGGCCAAUCUAUAUAUGC
rfam:Cricetulus griseus cell line CHO-K1, whole genome shotgun sequence.